CACCAUGACACAGACACCACAAAUGUAUAAACACUUGAUUUUAUUCAUAACAGAAGAAUCCAACAAAGGGUGUAGAUACGACAUGUUUAGCGUAAUAAAAGGAAGAAGAGGAAUAAAAAGGACUUGAAAUCCGAGUGGGGAUAAAGUGCAGGUUCAAACACUGGCUGAUUCAUGACUUGGUGACAUUACAGGUAGUGCUAACUUACAACACAAACAUAAGGAAGAGCAGGGCUGUUGGUGUGCAGGAAAACAGAGAGUACAAUUAUGUUUAUGACACAACACUGACAUCUGCUUAUUUCUCUACACUAACCUUACCAUUCAUCCUCUUUUCUCCAAAACUACAAACUACACUUUCACUUCUUAGGUGAGCAGCAUAUAAAAAUAAUCUUUGUCACAGAUGGAGGUGGAGAAAAACCAGGGAAGACACGAAGAGGUCAAAAAAUAUAAGUACUGUGAAGCCAAUGAUACGUGGUAAGUAUUCACAAACAAAAAUAAUUUCUUUUUUCGGAGUAAAGUCUGAGAUUUUUGUGUUUGGACAAAUUUGACUCAUCAUCUCAAGGUCCGUUUGUUAGCUCGUCAUCAUGUAAAGAAAUUCGCCAAACAAGAAAGCUCCCUGAAUGUGAUGCUCCCCCUCCUGGCUGUCUGCGGUAUUGUUGAUAAAGCCCACCUCCUCCAUGUAAACAGAUGGGACAUGAGCGAAACUUUAAAAUGAAAAAACACAUCACAUAAAUUCUUCUCAAACCUGGUUUCUGAUAUUUAAUUUAGUGUUGAUUAUGCAAACUCUUGCCCAAGCAUCAAUUUAACUGAAAAUGUUAGUUUUGACUAGUUAUGGGAUGCUAAUUAUAAGGCCAUGACUGACAGCUAUAUUCGCAAAUAUGGAGCCUAAUGCACUAAAUUAUCUGGGUAAUGCAACAUCAUGAAAACUAACACCUUAUCUAUCAAAGAUCUGAUCUGAUGGGCUGUUUUUUCUCUGUGCAGUUUUACCAAUAAUUUAAAUGUUUAAACUGCUCUGACUAUGGAGACUUAAAAAUAUGGAUUUAUGAGGAUGAGUAAAAGGCAGUGUGUUUUUAACUCUGCUACCAACAUCAGGUAAAACCCAGAUUAAAAGGUUAAACAAUUGAAAUGGAAAUAUUCCGUAAAAAAAUCAAGUUUAACACAAAUCUGUGGCCCGAUAUCCACAGUCCUCCAAAGACUCUGUUAUUUACUGCACAAAAAUGAAGUUUUACCGUCAUUCUCCAACUGCAACCUACUCCAUAGUCCAUAUAAAGGAGUAAGACAAUCACACACGAGGCAACAUACUGGGCUCACCACAUUUGUUCGGCAUUUCUCAACUUUCACUAUCACAGCACAAACUCAAUUUUUUUCUAAAAUAGGUCCUUGGAAGCGCAACUACCAACCUGCCGCACACAUCCUCGCUUUGGGUUAUUAAAAUAAAGAAUCUUUAAAUUAAAAAAGAAAAAGGAAAAACACACAGUUUAAGUCUUCGAGUGAGGACGAAAAAAAUGACCGUUUACAAAUAUUACAAAACCGUCAUCAUCGUACGUCUGCUAUGAAAACUACGAGUACAUACAUGUCCUGUGUUAAAGAAGAAACGGUUAACAAAAUAGCUUAUACAAAACUUCAAUACAUGAAUUUACAUUUAAAGCAUUUUUGUGUGUCACUAGAAUCAGUGAAGAGUCUGUAGUUUCCUCGCAGAGACGCAGAGGCCUAGAAGAUAAAAAUCUGUAAAUACUCGUAGCGGAGAGGAAACAGAAACACGUCACUGAAAACGUUUUCUUAUUCGCGCUGGAACUCAAAAGUUAUAAUGUAGAUCUUUGUACGGAUGGGAAAAUAUCACGAUUGUUGUUGUAGAUAAAUCUGGGAUGUUCUUUGCAUCUCGUAAUCAUCUUUAAGUUGAACUUUUUAUGUCAACAGUUGCAGGUUUGUGGACAUAUUUUGUGUUGUCUGAUGAAACUGAUCAAACCCACUUUUAAAUAAUUGUAUAAAACAGUCCAGAGAAAAUCCUCUUUUUCUGGAAGAUCUGUGUUCAGACUGGUUCAACUAUCCAGCAUCACACCUCUGGAAGAAGAGUCAG
rnacentral:lncRNA from 1 species